CCUACGGGUGGCAGCAGUGGGGAAUAUUGGACAAUGGGGGGAACCCUGAUCCAGCCAUGCCGCGUGUGUGAAGAAGGCCCUCGGGUUGUAAAGCACUUUCAGUGAGGAAGAAUGCCUGGUGGUUAAUACCCAUCAGGAAAGACAUCACUCACAGAAGAAGCACCGGCUAACUCCGUGCCAGCAGCCGCGGUAAUACGGAGGGUGCGAGCGUUAAUCGGAAUUACUGGGCGUAAAGCGCGCGUAGGUGGCUUGAUAAGCCGGUUGUGAAAGCCCCGGGCUCAACCUGGGAACGGCAUCCGGAACUGUCAAGCUAGAGUGCAGGAGAGGAAGGUAGAAUUCCCGGUGUAGCGGUGAAAUGCGUAGAGAUCGGGAGGAAUACCAGUGGCGAAGGCGGCCUUCUGGACUGACACUGACACUGAGGUGCGAAAGCGUGGGUAGCAAACAGGAUUAGAUACCCUGGUAGUC
rnacentral:rRNA from 1 species